ensembl:rRNA 5S_rRNA 5S ribosomal RNA
UCUACGGCCAUACCACCCUGAACGUGCCCCAUCUCGUCUGAUCUCAGAAGCUAAGCAGGGUCGGGCCUGGUUAGUGCUCCGAUGGGAGGAUGGAUGAGAGUUGCGUCUCCGGAGGACACAGGGCAGUUGAGAA